UCGCCGUUAAAUCCCCCACAAUUACUCACAGGAGUCCAUCCCUGGCUUCCUCAUACUUUCAUUUGAAUGGGAUUUGGAUUCUGCCUGUCAUUGUGAAGUAGACUGGAAAAGAGUACUGUCAACACAGAUGAAGACUCAGUGUGAAUAAAAUUAAAAUAAUUAAGUUCUGUUCAACAUCAGUUUGGCCCUGCUUGAGUUGCCAGGACUCCGUACACAAUUUGGGAUGGGGGUUGGGUUUUUUUUUCGUUGACUGUGGUUUCCUUGGUUGGAAUGCUAUGUCUAAGACCACCAUCCAGGAGAAUGAAGGUCUUCCACCCAAGGGCAACAUCUGUUAUCUACACAUUUGGAUAUUGUGUCCAAAACAGGAGAUAUCAGCUUUGGAGGAACGCGAUUUCAGAGUAUGAAGCAGUUCCAAAGACCACUUGGACUUGAUCUCCAAAUGCCUGAGAUAGAUACAAGCCUUGAAAGUGACCCUCGACACCCUGGGAUCUUCUGUGUAAAAGGCUGAAGCACCCAGGGGGUGUAUCCUUGACUGUGCUGCUGAGUCAAUUAAUUACAGUGCUCGAAAUAAAAUG
rnacentral:lncRNA from 1 species